rnacentral:rRNA from 1 species
CGGGACGGGUGAGUAAUGUCUGGGAAACUGCCCGAUGGAGGGGGAUAACUACUGGAAACGGUAGCUAAUACCGCAUAACGUCGCAAGACCAAAGAGGGGGACCUUCGGGCCUCUUGCCAUCGGAUGUGCCCAGAUGGGAUUAGCUAGUAGGUGGGGUGACGGCUCACCUAGGCGACGAUCCCUAGCUGGUCUGAGAGGAUGACCAGCCACACUGGAACUGAGACACGGUCCAG